rnacentral:rRNA from 1 species
UACGGGGGGUGCAAGCGUUGUUCGGAAUCAUUGGGCGUAAAGCGCGCGCAGGCGGCUUGGUCAGUCAGAUGUGAAAGCCCUGGGCUUAACCCAGGAAGUGCAUUUGAUACUGCCUCGCUAGAGUACGGGAGAGGAAAGUGGAAUUCCUGGUGUAGAGGUGAAAUUCGUAGAUAUCAGGAGGAACACCGGUGGCGAAGGCGACUUUCUGGCCCGAUACUGACGCUCAGGCGCGACAGCGUGGGGAGCAAACAGG